AUUGAACGCUGGCGGCAGGCCUAACACAUGCAAGUCGAGCGGAUGAAGGGAGCUUGCUCCUGGAUUCAGCGGCGGACGGGUGAGUAAUGCCUAGGAAUCUGCCUGGUAGCGGGGGAUAACGUCCGGAAACGGGCGCUAAUACCGCAUACGUCCUGAGGGAGAAAGUGGGGGAUCUUCGGACCUCACGCUAUCAGAUGAGCCUAGGUCGGAUUAGCUAGUUGGUGGGGUAAAGGCCUACCAAGGCGACGAUCCGUAACUGGUCUGAGAGGAUGAUCAGUCACACUGGAACUGAGACACGGUCCAGACUCCUACGGGAGGCAGCAGUGGGGAAUAUUGGGCAAUGGGCGAAAGCCUGAUGCAGCCAUGCCGCGUGUGUGAAGAAGGUCUUCGGAUUGUAAAGCACUUUAAGCUGGGAGGAAGGGCAGUAAGUUAAUACCUUGCUGUUUUGACGUUACCAACAGAAUAAGCACCGGCUAACUUCGUG
rnacentral:rRNA from 1 species